CUAUUUCUACUAUCAAGAUUUGCUCCGAUGGAAUAUGGGUAUAAAUAUCCCUCUGACCUGAGACCGCCACAGUGACUUGCAAGCAACUCACUGCACUUAGGCACUGGACUACCUGAAUUUUUAAUUCAGUGACGGAAGGCUGCUGGGUGUAGUCAAGUACUUGACUUGUCGGUGCGUGUGUCAAGAUGAGAUUGACCACUCCAGUUUAGGAGCAAUGUACAGUCGUAUUUCAAUUUAGCAAAAUCUUGACCAGGGUAGUCCUUGUGAGGAGUCACAGGACUGUUUGAGUUGAGCACGAUUCGGAUGAUCUGAUCAGGGUUGACAGUUUAACCCUGAGUCAUUCUAAACACAGGGGUCAAAAGGAUAAAUUAUACAGUAACCAUAUUCAUAUAGAUUCUGAGUGUUGCGAUUGCGACUC
rnacentral:lncRNA from 1 species